GGAUCGUAAACCUCUUUUAUAAGGGAAUAAAGUGCGGGACGUGUCCUGUUUUGUAUGUACCUUAUGAAUAAGGAUCGGCUAACUCCGUGCCAGCAGCCGCGGUAAUACGGAGGAUCCGAGCGUUAUCCGGAUUUAUUGGGUUUAAAGGGUGCGUAGGCGGCCUUUUAAGUCAGCGGUGAAAGUCUGUGGCUCAACCAUAGAAUUGCCGUUGAAACUGGGGGGCUUGAGUAUGUUUGAGGCAGGCGGAAUGCGUGGUGUAGCGGUGAAAUGCUUAGAUAUCACGCAGAACCCCGAUUGCGAAGGCAGCCUGCCAAGCCAUGACUGACGCUGAUGCACGAAAGCGUGGGGAUCAAACAGGAUUAGAUACCCUGGUAGUCCCACGCAGUAAACGAUGAUCACUAGCUGUUUGCGAUACACUGUAAGCGGCACAGCGAAAGCGUUAAGUGAUCCACCUGGGGAGUA
rnacentral:rRNA from 1 species